UGUUUAAAUCGUGGGUUUAUUUGUUCUUUUCAGAGAGUCUUUCUCCAAGGCUUUGGAGGCUGCUGGUGUCUCAACAAUGCAAAAACUGUCAUACCCCCUCUGGAGGAAGCGUUCUUCGCUGCUUCUUUCUGACCCUUCCUCCUGCACCAUCCCGGGUCCUGCAUGACUGGUUCCUGUGAGAUGCUUCAGUGCAGUCCCUCUCAGAACAUCGCGGUGCACUUCAAUCCCCUGUGUCACUCAGACAUGCGGGACUACGCGUAUUCUGGACUGCAGCCUUUCAGCCUCAGCCUUGAAGCCACUUGCCAGAGAGUUUACAUGCUGCGCGAAGAACAGAGCCCAUGCUGCCUUUUUGUGCUCCCCUUGUCUGCCUUGGCUAGAGGUAGCUGAAAAAAAGAACAAAAUGCUCCCUUCACUAGGAGUGAACUGCCUGCCUUCGUGGUCACUGUGACGUGCAGGGGCACGGAGGUGCCUGGGGCCGGGCUGCUUCUCCCACAGCUGCGAGAUGCCGAGAGGAGCUUACAGACCAGUCCUGCCCCCAAAGGGAGUGUGGUUCCAGUGAUAUAGGAAGAUCAUUUCUUACGUCCACCCGAGUCGACCUGAGGAUGGGGUUCAUUCUGCUCAGCCAUCUCCAGGUUGAGGGACUGAUGCCAUCCAGAGCUGCCGGUUGUGAUUCAUUUAACCGGCAGUCUAAAAGAUAAGUGCGUAGUGUAAAGCUACAUCUCUUAUCAGUGGAGAGAGAGGGGCCUCACCACCGAGUGAUUCAUCCCAUCCUGAGACAGGUGCCACCACCUUGGUUAAAAGGAAUAUCAAUAUACCUGGAUCACAUGUCCAAUCGAGAAAAGUGAACUGAACUCUUAACCUUGCCCUGAAGGAAUUACUUGAAAAAAUAUGAAGUUUCAUCUUCAGGUCUGCUCAUUCUGUAGUUUUUCUGAAAAUGUAGACAUAGUGUCUUUUCUUUGGAAAAAACCAAAACAACAAAACAACCAAAAACCACAUUCUUCUGGUAUGGUUACUGCUGAGGAUCAAGAAGCAGUCUAUUUCUUCAGGUCCCAAGACUAAACAGUCUCAAUAUCACGUCUGCAUCUCUUGGCUAACUGAGAAGCUGAACCCAGCCGCAGUGUCCUGCC